rnacentral:lncRNA from 1 species
UCAGCAUGCUGGUGGAUGAUCUCUAGAUAUACCAAACCUAGGUUCAUCCAUUAGAUUAUCAAGUAUGCAUUAUGUCAUUGUUGGUUCGCAGAAAGCUUAAGGUUUUAAGAAACAUGUUGAAAAUAGUAAUAAACAACCUCCUACGGCUCUUUUAUUUAAUUAAAAAAACAUUUGUUUAACUUUUUCCUUAUUUUCCUUA